rnacentral:rRNA from 1 species
UACGGAGGAUGCGAGCGUUAUCCGGAUUUAUUGGGUUUAAAGGGUGCGUAGGCGGCCUUUUAAGUCAGCGGUGAAAGUCUGUGGCUCAACCAUAGAAUUGCCGUUGAAACUGGGGGGCUUGAGUAUGUUUGAGGCAGGCGGAAUGCGUGGUGUAGCGGUGAAAUGCAUAGAUAUCACGAAGAACCCCGAUUGCGAAGGCAGCUUACCAAACUAUAUCUGACGUUGAGGCACGAAAGCGUGGGUAGCAAACAGG